rnacentral:lncRNA from 1 species
GCACAGCAAAUAUUAAGGUUUAAAUUCAUCUGUGACAGUACUUUCAUGGGUCUUUCAUUUAUCAAAGCCAAAACAUAGAAGCACUAGGUCUAAGAUAAAACUUGUUUUUUGUCCUUUGUUGUCAAUAGUGAAAUAGCUAAAUUUGAGGUCUUGUGUAGGAACUGCUCCCUGAAGAAAACCUUGCUGAUAAUGACAUAGAGUAAUAAUAUGAUAUAGCAAAGCUAACUAAUUUGGUAGAUGA